AUGUCAGAAAUAGAACAAAAGGGAGGGGAAGGAAGAAGGAGAGGAGGGCAUGGCGGCGCGUUGGUUUCGUUCUUGCAAAAAAGGCCUUGUAGUUUGGGGUAUUCAACCCUCGGUACGAGCAAAUUCGUAAAGAAAAAAAAACAGGACCACACACGGCGCACGAAUUCGCCUCCUCUCCUCUCGCCCAUGCCUCGCCGCCGCCACCACCCACGGCGCACGCUUCCGGCGAGCUCCGGCGCUGCGCAGAACGGCCCCCGAGCUCCCCACGGUCCGCGCCUCCCUCCCCUCCGGCUAGAUUCUCUGUUCCCAGCCUCUACCACCCGCUCGCAACCCCACCUCCGUGGCUAG
rnacentral:rRNA from 1 species